CAAGGUCUCCGUUGGUGAACCAGCGGGGGGGAUCAAAUUA
rnacentral:rRNA from 1 species